AGUGAACGCUGGCGGCGUGCCUAACACAUGCAAGUCGAACGAUGAAGAGCAGCUUGCUGCUCGGAUUAGUGGCGCACGGGUGAGUAAUGCAUAGGUAAUGUGCCCCUUAGUCUGGGAUAGCCACUGGAAACGGUGAUUAAUACUAGAUACUCCUUCUUGUCUUAAGGCAAGUCGGGAAAGUUUUUCGCUAAGGGAUCAGCCUAUGUCCUAUCAGGUAGUUGGUGAGGUAACGGCUCACCAAGCCAAUGACGGGUAUCUGGUUUGAGAGGAUGAUCAGACACACUGGAACUGAGACACGGUCCAGACUCCUACGGGAGGCAGCAGUGAGGAAUAUUGCACAAUGGAGGAAACUCUGAUGCAGCAACGCCGCGUGGAGGAUGACGCAUUUCGGUGUGUAAACUCCUUUUAAGAGGGAAGAUUAUGACGGUACCUCUUGAAUAAGCACCGGCUAACUCCGUGCCAGCCGCCGCAGUAA
rnacentral:rRNA from 1 species